rnacentral:rRNA from 1 species
UGGCUCAGAUUGAACGCUGGCGGCAGGCCUAACACAUGCAAGUCGAGCGGAAACGGCAGCAUUGAAGCUUCGGUGGAUUUGCUGGACGUCGAGCGGCGGACGGGUGAGUAACGGCUGGGAACCUGCCCUGACGCGGGGGAUAACCGUUGGAAACGACGGCUAAUACCGCAUAAUGUCUCAGUUCAUUACGAGCUGGGACCAAAGGUGGCCUCUACAUGUAAGCUAUCGCGUUGGGAUGGGCCCAGUUAGGAUUAGCUAGUUGGUAAGGUAAUGGCUUACCAAGGCGACGAUCCUUAGCUGGUUUGAGAGGAUGAUCAGCCACACUGGGACUGAGACACGGCCCAGACUCCUACGGGAGGCAGCAGUGGGGAAUAUUGCACAAUGGGGGAGACCCUGAUGCAGCCAUGCCGCGUGUGUGAAGAAGGCCUUCGGGUUGUAAAGCACUUUCAGCAGUGAGGAAGGUGGUGUACUUAAUAAGUGCAUGGCUUGACGUUAGCUGCAGAAGAAGCACCGGCUAACUCCGUGCCAGCAGCCGCGGUAAUACGGAGGGUGCGAACGUAAAACGGAAUUACUGGGCGUAAAGCGCAUGCAGGCGGUUUGUUAAGUCAGAUGUGAAAGCCCGGGGCUCAACCUCGGAACCGCAUUUGAAACUGGCAGGCUAGAGUCUUGUAGAGGGGGGUAGAAUUUCAGGUGUAGCGGUGAAAUGCGUAGAGAUCUGAAGGAAUACCAGUGGCGAAGGCGGCCCCCUGGACAAAGACUGACGCUCAGAUGCGAAAGCGUGGGUAGCAAACAGGAUUAGAUACCCUGGUAGUCCACGCCGUAAACGCUGUCUACUUGGAGGUUGAGGUUUUAGACUUUGGCUUUCGGCGCUAACGCAUUAAGUAGACCGCCUGGGGAGUACGGCCGCAAGGUUAAAACUCAAAUGAAUUGACGGGGGCCCGCACAAGCGGUGGAGCAUGUGGUUUAAUUCGAUGCAACGCGAAGAACCUUACCUACUCUUGACAUCCAGAAAACCUUCCAGAGAUGGAUUGGUGCCUUCGGGAGCUCUGAGACAGGUGCUGCAUGGCUGUCGUCAGCUCGUGUUGUGAAAUGUUGGGUUAAGUCCCGCAACGAGCGCAACCCUUAUCCUUGUUUGCCAGCACGUAAUGGUGGGAACUCCAGGGAGACUGCCGGUGAUAAACCGGAGGAAGGUGGGGACGACGUCAAGUCAUCAUGGCCCUUACGAGUAGGGCUACACACGUGCUACAAUGGCAGAUACAGAGGGCAGCGAAGCUGCGAAGUGGAGCGAAUCCCUUAAAGUCUGUCGUAGUCCGGAUUGGAGUCUGCAACUCGACUCCAUGAAGUCGGAAUCGCUAGUAAUCGUGGAUCAGAAUGCCACGGUGAAUACGUUCCCGGGCCUUGUACACACCGCCCGUCACACCAUGGGAGUGGGCUGCACCAGAAGUAGAUAGCUUA